UGGUCUGCGCCGUUCCGGGUCGCAGCGUUGUGACCCCACACUCCUCCUCUCCCGCUCCCGCCCAACCCCGGCCGCAUGCUCACGCGGCCCCCAGCCGCCAGGCAGCGGCGCCAGGCAGGGGCGCGGCGACCCAGAAGUAUCCCGCACUGAGCAAUUCCCGCGACCCGACUCCCACCUCUCAUAGCUUGGGCAAACUGCCUGCCCCUCGCAGCCCCUGAGCAGCUGCUACGUAGCGAGUUAUUCGCCUGCAGGGAAGGCAGGUGAAGAAGAGGGACGUCAUCUGUCCCUGAACAGAGUAACCUGAAACCGCAGGUAACAUGGAUGUGGAAAUGUAGGGUCGUGGGAAUCCUCAGCACUGGCCGAGCUCAUACGUCCACUUCCAAACCUCAUCGACGACCCUGGAAGACGAUAUAUAAGGAAUGGAAUAAAAAUAUUAAAAAAUA